rnacentral:lncRNA from 1 species
GGGAAAAUAUAACCCUUUGACAAGCACCCAGGAAUAUUCUGUGAAAAAGACUAAGAUAUCAGAGAAAUUAUUAGUGCACAUUAUUAGAAGAGAGCUUCAGAUGAAAAUAAAGAUCAAGAAAAGACUCUUGCUUUGAGAAGACACAAAGAAAUCACAUCAUCUUAUUGGGAUUACUGGCUAGCCAUAUGCAGAAGAUUGAAGCUGGUCCCCUUCUUACACCAUAUACAAAAAGCAGCACAAGAUGGAUUACUUAAAUGUAAAACCCAAAACUAUAAAAACCCUGGAAGACAAUCUAGGCAAUACCAUUCUGGACAUAGGAAAAGGCAAAGAUUUCAUGACAAAGACACCAAAAGUAAUUGCAACAAAAGCCAAAAUUGACUAGUGGGAUCUAAUUAAACGUGAGAACUUCUGCACAGCAAAAGAAAUUGUCAGCAGAGUAAAUAGACAAUCUAAAUAAUGGGAGAAAAUUUUUGCAAACUAUGCAUCUUACAAAGGUCUAAUAUCUAGCAUCUAUAAGGAAUGUAUACAAAUUUACAAGAGAAAAACAACCCCAUUUGAAAGUGGGCAAAGGACAUGAACAGACACUUUUCAAAAGAAGAUAUACAUGCGGCCAAAAAGCAUAUGAAAAAAAGCUCAAUAUCACUGAUCAUUAGAGAAAUGCAAAUCAAAACCACAAUGAGAUACCAUCUCACACCAGUCAGAAGGGUUACUAUUGAAAAGUAAAAAAAUAACAGACGCUGGCUAGGUUGCAGAGAAAAAGGAACACUUAUACACUGUUGGUGGGAAUGUAAAUUAGUUUAGCCAUUGUGGAAAGCAGUAUGGUGAUUCCUCAAAGAGCUAAAAGCAAAACUACCAUUUGGCCCAGCAAUCCCAUUACUGGAUAUAUACCCAAAGGAAUAUCAGUCAUUCUACCAUAAAGACACACGCACCUGAAUGUUCAUUUCAGCACUAUUCAUAAUAGCAAAGAUAUGGAAUCAACCUAAAUGCCCAUCAGUGACAGACUGGAUAAAGAAAAUGUGGUACAUAUACACCAUGGAUGGAAUAAUAUGCAGCCAUAAAAAAGAAUGAGAUCAUGGCUUUUGUGGACACAUGGAUGGAGCUGGAGGCCAUUAUCCUCAGCAAACUAAUGAAGGAUCGGAAAACCAAAUGCAGCAUGAUUCUCACUUAUCAGUGGGAGCUAAAUGAUGGGAGCUUAUGAACACAAAGAAGGAAACAACAGACACUGGGGUCUACUUGAGGGUAAAGGGUAGGAGGAGGUAGGGGAGCAGAAAAAAUAACUAUUGGGUGCUGGGCUUAAUUCCCAGGUGAUGAAAUAAUCUGUACAACAAAACAUCAUGACAUGGUGUACCCAUGUAACAAACCUUCACAUGUGCCCCCAAACCUAAAAUAAAAGUUAAAAAACAAAAAAAAGAAGUCAGACUAUCUUAAAGGCAACCAAACCAUUUAUAGAAAAUUAGUAGAAUAAAGAGACUCUGUAAAAUUAGGCUGUUGAUCUACCUUUAUUUGAUCAAUACAACAGGGCCACAUCUUACAUGGGAUUUAGUUCUAAAGACGGCAAAUAAGAUGAAUAUUUCAUAGAAGCUAAAUUGUCUUUGGAAAUCCUUUAGCCACCACAUUGGAAACUAACAUGCUUUCUCCAGAUAAUUCCAACACAGCUACAUAUUUCCUCCAGCUUUGGAAUAGCUUGCUGUUUUUUCAGUGUAGCUGUAGAUGAAGCUGGCAUUUCAUGUCAUGUUGUAUAAAAACUCUAGAACCCCCCAGUGUGUGGUGAGAUGUACCACUGUCAAACUAAGAGGGAACUGAUACUGAGUACAAUAAAUUCACUUCUCACAUCUGAUGUUCAUUGCAGAGCUUAUGUGCAUUGACCAGAAUGAUGCUAAAAUCAGUUUACAUGAUUUAAGUUGCUACUUGAUUUCUACUUUCCCACCCUCAGCAACAUAUAUAAUUGAAUUCUCAUAAUUUAGAUGUACAUAAAAUGCAGACCUUCUCUGUAAGAAUUUAUGAGCUACAAUUGAAGUCUAAAUAAUCUGGAAAUAAGACACUGCUCUUCAGGGCUGUUAGGCAUAUGGCAGGUAGAUGCAGCAACAUUUGUGUGGGUAACAUCUCUGAUAUCCCAAUUCCCAAAACACACAUUCAUACCUCAAGUUGACAUCUGAAAAGUAUUUAAAUUGGUAUUACAGAUACAAUAAAAUGGAAUACUGUCAUUGCCAGAAUUAAAAAACUAAAGCCAAAUAAUUAAGUUAGGGGUCUGGUGGGAGGACAGUGUGAGAGAUGCCCAGCAAUAUUGCUUUACAUUUAUACUAAUACGUGCUGUUUUCAUGUGGAUGUACUUUUAGAGAGCAGAAACAUGUUUAAUUCUAGGAAGAGCAAAGCAUCUCCAUGACCCGUAACAGGUCAAACUAACUCUGUAUUUGAGAUAUUGUUCUUUUUAAAAGACUGAGUCUCUGCUCCUAAGGGUGUCUUUAAUUUUUUUUCCUGAGUAUUUCUUCUUAUUUAGGUCCCAGAGGGUGAUUAUCUUUGUGUAUGUUAUGGUGGAAGCUAAAAGUUGCAAGGUGUAUCAAUAGAGCUGUCACAUAGCAUAGGUGUAUUUCUGUUUGUUUUCACAUUCUACAAACUAUUAGCAGAUCUGUCUAUUAGCUAAGAUAAGUGAUCCACUGUUACAAGACUCUGCAUCCAAAGGAUGACCUUCCUCUCACUGAGGAUCUCUGACAUCUUUGUAUAUUGAUCACACACCUGGAAAAGUGAACCUUUCACUGUUUUGACAAGUGUGCUCUUUAAGCACAAAACUGGUAGAGAAUGGAAGAAUACCCUCCUUUUCUGUCAGCAGUAGGAAGGUAUGAAGGAAAGUCUAUAGAGCUAUCAAUGAUUUAUUAGACCAUUAAAAAACACCCAAACAAUGGAAAUAGAUGGCUCCUGUAUUUCUUCUGAUGUGAGGCUCAUGCUUAGUUGGAGUCCUGAAAUGUCUAAAAAAGCAGAUGUUGUUGGCUGCACACAGAUUACCAUUAAAAUGGUCGACUUCCAUUCCCAGACUUUCAAUUAUCCAAGAGACGACUUUUGUGUGUAUAAUUAUUCCUAAGGAGACAGGUCUUUAACAUAAGUCUUUUCUAAUAAUUCCUUGUGAAUCAGACUAUGAAGAAUAAAAUCUGACAUCAAGAUAUGAUGGUACAAGAUGAAAGCACAGAGAACAGACAUGGACAAUCAAGGAGGAAUCAUGAAAAUAAUAAAAAGUAUCAGUGAAAACUGAGGGAAAAGGCCUCCAUAUCUGACAGGAGUGAAACGAACACUCCUUUUCCUUUAGAGUUUCUCUUUAAAGGAAGAAUAUAGUUAUUCUUUUAUGAUACGUAUGAAUAAAAUAAGAAAAUAGGCAAAGGGGAAGUAAAAUUUAAAAUCCAUCAGGCAGGGGAGAGGGUAGAUAAGAAGCUGUCCUAUUUAUUUUUUGUUUUGUUUUAAUUUAAAUUUAGAUGUUGGAGUACUGCAUAUCUUUCUGUAAUGACAUCCUGAUUUAAUGUUUACUUUUAUUUUGCAUUCUCAAUUCUGCGUCUGAAGUUAAAUGACUUGUGUUACUAAAAUAUGGAGAGGUGAUUAUAAAUAUACUUUUCGGUUAAGAUGAAUUAUCAGAGCGCACUUGUCUUUAAGAUUAUGAUGACUUACAAUUGAAACAAACUGGCUUUUAUUUAAGAGUCAUUACCAUUUUUGGUUUUUAACAUUAUCUGAAUUGUAUGGAAACAAAUUUAAAAUCAGAAACAUUAAGUUUUGGAAUAAAGGUGGAUAAGAAAUGUUGGAUAAAGUGUUUCAGAAGGAUUUAUUGAAGUAACUUUUCACAUGUUAAAAAAGCUUAAAUUCUUAAAAAUUGUUUAAGGGAAAUAAGUGAAAAGGGAUAAAAAAUAACACCAGCAAUAUUUAUCAAAAUUCCCAUUCUUUUGCAGUUAAAGGAUCUCUCUCUCCCUCUCUUUAUCUUACUUUUCCCUAAAGUAUAAUAAUCUGUGAGCAUAUGAUAUCUUCUAUGUUAAUAUAUAUUUUUAUUUUUAGGACAGAGCCUUCACCCUGAUUAUCUUUGGAUUCUUGGAGUCCAUAGAAGUGCCUUGAAAAUAGAAAGUUUUAUACACUUUUUUUUACAAAUGACAUGAAAUCCAAUCCUGCUUUUCCUCAAUCUCUUAGUUGUCUUUUAGGCCUCUUUCCCCGUGUUAUGCUGCCUUAGAAUCUCGAUAUUUUGCUAGAUUCAGCACAUGGGAUGUCCUUACAAGAUCCCACUCAGAAUAAAUGUUAUAUUAUUAUUCUAAUAUACCCUUCUAUAUUUUAUAUAUAUAUAUGGCAUAUUGCAUAGGACAGUAGCUCACACAAGGUUAUUUCUUUAAAAAUUUGAUAAAUAUGAGUGAAGUGAUUAUUGAUGUUAUGAUCAAUAAUUCACAGUUAAUAUUUGAUUCUUAAGGCUUUCUAGGCUAGGAAAUUUUCUCAGAAUAAUAUCUCCUCACCUUUUUGAAGGGACAACUAAACUUUAGAGAAGCAAUCAAUAAACUGAGUUGCUACUUUGUGAACACAUUGAUCUAGGGAAGUGUAAAUAAAAAAGAAGUAUGUGGGAUUACUCUUGUCUAUAAAGAAAUUAAAUAUAAUUUGGGGAAUUAAAUAAUAAAAAAAUUUGUUGCAAAAUAAUAACAUAUAGGUCAGCAAGAUGGCAGAAUAGGAAGCCCCAGACCCUCUUUCCCCUGUGGAGACACAGAAGCAACAAAAAUACAUGGACCAAUUCCCUUUGAGAGGAAUUUAGAAAACAGUUAAGAGGGUCCCACAUGUCAGGUGAUUGUGAAGCCAGCUGUAUCAAAGCUGUAAGGAAAAUUUAUGGCAUUCAUUCAUUAUAGGUCCACUCCCCAACAUAGCAUGGCAUGAUGAAGAGAAAACUCCCAGCUUCCAGUUUUGCCUUGGGAAAAGAAAUAGAAAACUAAAACAUGUCCAGCAUGCAGACUCUUUGGGGAGCUGUUUGAGUGAUUGGAUUUUGUCUUUUCUGAUCCAGGAAAGGGUACCACAUUGGGGAUCACUGAGAACAAAGGUGAUGGUUUGGACUAAUAUGCAAUCAUUCACCACAGUCUCUUGUCCUGGCUUGGCAUGGGAUCAGAGAAAAUUCUCACCUUCCAGUUUCUCACUAGGGAGGUAAAGAAUGAGGGCAUGUGUCCAGUGUUAAUGGCUUUUUGGGGGCUUCUGUCUCACUAGUUUCUGUCUCACCUGUCUCAGAAUGCUGAUGGGACCUGGCUUACUCUCAAUAUCUGGGGACUGCUGAGAAAAAAAGAGUUUUGGGAGGCUUACUUCUGCUUCAAAGGACCCAGAAUACAGAAGACAGAGGCUGGUAUAGCUUCAUGGCCUCUCCCUCAGGAGGGAGUGGGUGAAAGAGUGGAUCAUGCACCCAAUGUUCUGGCUUUUCAGAAUGUUACAAGAGACUAAUAUCUAUCUUGUUUGACUGAGAGUGUUAAUGGGACUUGGCAUACUCUAGAAGUCUGAGGGCUUCUGAGAAUAAGAGAGAUGGGCAGCUUGUGGCAGAUCCAGAGAACCUGUAGUAUCAUAUACAGAAAGUAAAGGGAGCAAGAGAUUAUGAGCUCCUGAAAGAAGAAACUGGAAAAUCACUUUAAUUGGGAGUCUGCAGGCACAAGUUCAGGGAAGACACAUCCAUAGGAAACACUGGAGAGGACCUCAGACUGACUGUUAAAGGUCUUUCCCUGUACAAAAAGCCAGUCCAAAAAGACUGGAAGAAGUGACUGUCUUAUCAAAUGUGUGGAUUCCACCACAAAGUUAGAAAGCAAAGGAAGACAGAGGAAAGCAUGGCAUAAUCAAAGGAACAAAAUAGAUCUCCAGGAGACAACCCUUUAAAAAGAGAUCUAUAUGAAUUACCUGACAAAAAAUUCGAAGUAACCAUUUUGAAAAUGUUCAGUGAGGAGAGAAAAGUGAUGCUGAACAAAGUGAAACUAUCAAAAAAGAGAAAAUAUGAAAGAGGACCAACCAAAAAUUUUGGAGCUGAAAACUGUAAUGCCUGAAUUUAAAAAUUCAUUACAGAAUUUCAACGGCAGGCUUGGUCAAGCAGAAGAAAGAAUCAUAAAAUUCAAAGACGGAUCACUUGGAUGUCUCAAAAGGAGAAGAGAGAAAGAAAGAAGAAAAAGCUUAUUCAUAGAAAUAAUGAAUGAAAACUCCAUAAAUAUGGGGAAGAAAAUGUACACCCAGAAUCAAGAAGCUGAAGUACUCCAACUGAAAUGAACCUAAAAAAGUCCACUCUGAGACAUACUAUAGCCAAAACCAGAGAAUUUUAAAAGAUGCACAAAAAAGGCAACUUGUCAUGUAAAUGGGAGCUCCCAUGAGACUAUCAGUAGAUUUUUUUCCACAGAAACCUUGCACAUCAGAAGGGAAAGGGGUGAUAUAUUUAAAGUGCUAAACAUUUUUUAAAGGAACCUGCAAACCAAGAAUACUGUAUUUGCCAAAACUGUCCUCCAAGAAUGAAGAAGACAUAAAGACUUUCCCCAUAAACAAAAACUGAGGAAUUUAAUCAUUACAUGUUCCUUACAAGAAAUGCUAAAGGAAGUUUUUCCAGUUGAAAUAGAAGAAUACUAGACAACAACACAAAAACUUCUGAAAGUAUAAAGCUGGCUAAAAAUGGUAGGUAUGUAUACAAAUAUAGAAUACUGUAAUACUGUAAUCAUGGUGUGUAAA